UGGGCUCGGAGAUGUGUAUAAGAGACAGCCUUUAAAGAGUGCGUAAUAGCUCACUAGUCGAGUGAUUCUGCGCCGAAAAUGUAUCGGGGCUAAGCAUAAUACCGAAGCUGCGGGAUUAGAUGAAGAAUCUAAUCGGUAGGGGAGCGUACUAAGUGCGUAGAAGGUUGACCGGAAGGGCAGCUGGAGCGCUUAGCAGUGAGUAUGCCGGUGUGAGUAGCGAUAAGAUGGGUGAGAAUCCCAUCCGUCGAAAGCCUAAGGUUUCCAGGGGUAAGGCUCGUCCUCCCUGGGUAAGUCGGGUCCUAAGGUGAGGCUGAGAAGCGUAGCUGAUGGACAUCAGGUUGAUAUUCCUGAACCACCAUAAAACUGAAGGAAUGACGGAGGAGGCUAAUCAGAGCUGAUUAAUGGAUUUCAGUUUAAGUACAAAGAGGGUUACGUAGGCAAAUCCGCGUAGCAAAACCUUGAAGUAUGACGACGUAAGUCUGGUGAAGCCACACUUCCAAGAAAAGUUUCUAGGUGUAUUUUAUGGUGCCCGUACCGUAAACGGACACACGUAGGCGAGGAGAGAAUCCAAAGACGCGCGAGAUAAUUCUUGUUAAGGAACUCUGCAAAAUUACUCUGUAACUUCGGAAUAAAGAGGGCUCCCGUGAGGGAGACGCAGAAAAUAGGCCCAAGCGACUGUUUAACAAAAACAUAGGUUUCUGCUAAAGCGUAAGCUGAUGUAUAGGAGCUGACGCCUGCCCAGUGCUGGAAGGUUAAGAGGAGAAGUUAGUCGCAAGGCGAAGCUUUGAAUUGAAGCCCCAGUAAACGGCGGCCGUAACUAUAACGGUCCUAAGGUAGCGAAAUUCCUUGUCAGGUAAGUUCUGACCCGCACGAAAGGCGUAACGAUUUGGGCGCUGUCUCAACAAGAAACUCGGUGAAAUCAUAGUACCUGUGAAGAUGCAGGUUACCCGCGAUCAGACGGAAAGACCCCAUGGAGCUUCACUGCAACUUAAUAUUGAUAUUGGGUGUGUGAUGUACAGGAUAGGUGGGAGACAAAGAAGCGAGUACGCUAGUAUUCGUGGAGUCAACCUUGGGAUACCACCCCUCGCACAUUUAGUAUCUAACUAGUUUCCAUAAGCUGGGAAUAGAACAGUGUUAGGUGGGCAGUUUGACUGGGGCGGUCGCCUCCCAAAGAGUAACGGAGGCGCCCAAAGGUUCCCUCAGAAUGGUUGGAAAUCAUUCGAAGAGUGUAAAGGCAGAAGGGAGCUUGACUGCGAGACCGACAGGUCGAGCAGGUGCGAAAGCAGGGCUUAGUGAUCCGGCGGUAUGAGAGUGGAAUUGCCGUCGCUCAACGGAUAAAAGCUACCUCGGGGAUAACAGGCUGAUCUCCCCCAAGAGUUCACAUCGACGGGGAGGUUUGGCACCUCGAUGUCGGCUCGUCGCAUCCUGGGGCUG
rnacentral:rRNA from 1 species